ensembl:lncRNA
GGUUUUUGAAUUAUUUAUUUCUUAAUUAAAGUCCCCUGAUUUAGGUUAAAUGUGCACUGGAACAUCUCCAUCUUCCUUCUCUUUUGUCGUUUGUAAUAUUCUCAGUGUUUUAUUCUGUCUUUUGUGUAUGAGGACUGAUCUGUGUAUUUAUCAAAAAAUGGAUUUGGUUUUUAGUGGCCUAUAUGUCUAUCCUUUUCUGAUCAAAAGUCAGACUAUUCAGGGUUAGGGUGAGGCUUAGGCUCAGGAAUGAAAUUUGAAAACGAGCAGAUUGUUAGGCUUAGGGUUGGGGUCAGGCAUGGGGUUGAAAGGUUAGGGUUAGGGUCAGUAGUGGGAUUCAAUCUGUGUAUCCAUUUGAACUCACUUCUUUUUCUUUGUUUACCUGUCCAUGCCCUAUUGGAUUCCAACCCUGAAAUUGUUAAAUGAUUUACACCGUGUUGUUUAAAAUGGUUAAUCAGUUUUGUAUUUUUGUUGUUCUUCUUGACGUCGUGAAGGUGUUGUUUUAACCUUACUACUAGUGCGUUUUUAGUUUCCCCAACAUAGCGUUUCCGGCAAUAUGCGCAUGUUAUACAGUACACUAUAUUGUUUGUGUUCAAGUUUAAAUUUUGUGUUAUGGGUGUGCCUGAAGCGUAUUUUAUUUUCCUAUAAUACACAUGCCACGGAGACCGCUGCCGGAGGGUUUUUGAGCUAAAUCUGGAGCGGACCAAGAUGUCCUUAAGGUUUUUGUUCUUUCUAUACGCUGAAAUGACUUUGAAUUUUUGCAAGACCGGUAGUUGGUGUUGAGUGCAUUCAAAAUUGUUUUUGACUUUUUUAUUUAGGGCUAGUGUUUGUUGAUUAUAGGUAGUUAUCAAUGGGAUGACUUGUUGGGGGCCCGGCAGCAGGGUGUCUGGAGGUGGAGUCUUUAUUUCCCUCAGUGUUGUGGCUUUGAUAGGUCUUAAAAAUCUACGACUGUAGCCCCUAUGUCUAAGGGCUUUGAACAGAACUCGAGCGGUGUCGUGGAAAUCGUUCUCAUCCGUACAAAUGCGAUAGAACCGUAUCAGUUGGGACUUGACUAUCCCUUUGAACGUGUGCUUCGGAUGAAAACUCAAUUUGUGUAGAAGACUAUGUGUAUCUGUAUUUUUGAAGUAUACUUUGGUCUUGAGUGCCCUGGACUGCUCAACAGGUUCACCCAAGAAAACCAUGGUGUCUAAAAACUGGAUGGAUUCUCUAUUAGCGUUAUGUUUUAUUGUGAUGUUCGGAUGAUGUGUGUUUGCGAGUAGAUCGAACUCCUCCAUUCCGUGUUUCCAAACCCCAAAGAUGUCAUCCAGGUAUCUGUAAUAAACUAGGGGCUUAAAUUUGCACCUGUCUAGAAGGGAUGUUUCCCAUUCCGCCAUGUAUAUGUUUGCAUAGGCAGGUGCAAAUUUUUUGCCCAUUGCUGUACCUUGAACCUGUAAGUAGAAUCGUGAAUCAAAUUCAAAGUCAUUCCGCGUUAGACCCAUUUCUAAGAGUUGUAAAAUGUUUGUCUGGUCUGUGCGGAUCCGGGUGAUUUCUGAAAGCGUUUUGGACAGCUUUUAGUCCUAAAUCCGUUGAUAUGUUUGUGUAUAAGCUGUUUGUCAAUUGUGAAAAGAAAUGAAUCGUUUGAGAUACUGAUAUUUUGUAUUUUGGCAAUGAAGUCAUACGUGUCUUUUAUGUAGCUGCGAUGUGUUUGUGAUAGCGGAUUUAAGAAGCUAUCGAUGUAUUGGGCCGUGCGGUAGGACUCACUCCCGCAGUCCGACACUAUCGGGCGGCCCCUGGGGAUCUCACCUGGGAUGGUCCAUGUUUCUGGUGCAGCAUGUAUUUUCAGUAAUAGGUAGAAUAGUCUAGGCCUGGGAACGUCUGGACCCAUUAAGUAGUGUUUCUGUUUCAGAUUGAUGUAUUUUUCUUGAUGCAACCCGUUCAAGACGUUUUGUAUCAUUAAUUUAGUCUCGGUUUGUAGUGAGUGUUCCAAAGGGAUGUAAUGGUCGGUGUUAUUCAAUUGCCUUUUAGCCUCGAACAUGUAUUGAGUUUUAUCCAAAAUGACAAUACCUGACCCCUUAUCCGCUGGUUUUAAAAUGAUGUCAGUGUUUGUUUUAAGUGAACGGAUUGCCCUUUUCUGUGCGGGUGAUAAAUUGUCCGAUGUUUUAAAGGUUCUGUUUGAGCCUAUGGCUCUGUGAUUGUGUUUAAUCAGUCGUUGAAUAUGUAUGUUACAUGCUGCAAUCAGGGGUUCCCAUUUGGAUGUCUCUACAAAUGGGGUGGUAUCGGUUUGUGUGUGGAAGUCAAAAUAAUUCAAGAUUUUUAACUUUCUAUUAUGCAGAUGGACAUCCCUCUUAAGAUCUCCAAGGUUCGACCCCCCCGGCGUCGGGAUGAAGGUCAGCCCCUUCUCCAGCAGCAGCCUCUCUCCCUGUGAUAAAUGAAAAGUUUUUGACAGAUUGAAGAUAUUGGAGUGCGACUGGUUGUUGCACGUCUCCGUCUUCAAUAGUUUAACUGAUUGCACCACCCAUCGAACAUGCGUUGUGCCGUCUCCGCGGUCCAGGGGAUAUGAUCUCUCUCGACCCUGAAAAACAAUCUCUUCAAUUCCCACAAUGGACUCCCGUGUGACACAAUGUAUUUAUUCAAUACCUCCAGAUUCUGCUGCUCCUGUAGAGUGGCGCCAUCUGUAUCGUCGUCCUCCCCCACAGGCGUGGUUGCUGGCCGGACCUGAGAGAGAUCAGGUAGAUUUAUUUUUACCGUGACUCUAUCCCGUUUAAGUUUGGGGUGUGUGUCUGGACUCACCUCUGGGGCGUGGACUUGGGCCUGGACUUUGAUUUGCCUGUGUCGGUGUCCAAGUCCCGCUAACGGGGCAACAGAUAUGGGCGAGUUAGAUUGUAAAUGGUGGAUCUGGAUAACAUUAUUCAAAGUGUGCUCAAUAGGUGGAUUGUAAAUCUGUGCCUGUGGAGAACCGGCCCUUUGAAGGGCAGUGGCGUGUGAAAUUGGGCCCGAUUUAUGUGAAGAAGCUGAUUGUUUGUGUUGUAUGUUAUCUUUACAGAACUCUAGCACGCUGUCUGUCAGUUUUUGUUUAAACCUAUGUCUGGCCCAUUUCACCGCCACUGUCUAUUCCAAUUCCCCGAAAAUCUGUAUGUCAUCCAUAAGGUUAUGUGUAACUUGUGUGUAAUGUUCCUGUAAGAUGAGCAUGUUAUUGUUCAUCCAUGUGAGUGUGUUUUGCUUGAUUUUUUGUGUGGUUGUGUCAUUAGGUGAUGCUGGUUUUAUGAAUUGUGUGAGUUUAUUGACCUGUCUGUACAUACCAGCCGGAUGGUUGUUUGUGUGCAGGGAGUGUUCCACUAUCUGCAUGUGGUGUGUGGCUUGUAUUAACUUGAAGUAUGUUUUUGUCAGUGUUUUAUCAAAUGUGUUGUGUUUGCUUGGUGAUGCUUGUGUUUGUGUAUUUUCCCCUUCCCCAAUUUGCUCAUGGUCUCCUAAAACAGCAAAUCUAUUGUGCCACGCCUUCAUUUUGUACCUUUCCGGUGAGCAGACUUCAACAGUGUCUGGUGAAAACAACAAUCAUCAACCACAUCACCAUAACAUAGACCGCUCUUACCCUACCAUCUGUUCGUCAGUCCUCAAUUGAGUGUUGUCCUUGGU